rnacentral:rRNA from 1 species
GUGAACGCUGGCGGUAGGCCUAACACAUGCAAGUCGAACGGCAGCACAGUAAGAGCUUGCUCUUACGGGUGGCGAGUGGCGGACGGGUGAGGAAUACAUCGGAAUCUACUUUUUCGUGGGGGAUAACGUAGGGAAACUUACGCUAAUACCGCAUACGACCUACGGGUGAAAGCAGGGGAUCUUCGGACCUUGCGCGAUUGAAUGAGCCGAUGUCGGAUUAGCUAGUUGGCGGGGUAAAGGCCCACCAAGGCGACGAUCCGUAGCUGGUCUGAGAGGAUGAUCAGCCACACUGGAACUGAGACACGGUCCAGACUCCUACGGGAGGCAGCAGUGGGGAAUAUUGGACAAUGGGCGCAAGCCUGAUCCAGCCAUACCGCGUGGGUGAAGAAGGCCUUCGGGUUGUAGCCCUUUUGUUGGGAAAGAAAAGCAGCAGGUUAAUACCCCGCUGUUCUGACGGUACCCAAAGAAUAAGCACCGGCUAACUUCGUG